rnacentral:rRNA from 1 species
CAGAUUACAUUUGUUGAACGUUGAUUGCGAACUUCGGCGUCAGAAGAGAAGAAGUGUGAAAGGAGUGGCGACGGCGGGGCGACGAGGGCGUCAGUACGCGUAGAAGGAAGAGAGUCCCGUCUCGUUGUACCGGCCGGCGCCGCCGCACGUGGUGGCUGCCACCCUGCCCCAGCACGGCCGCCUCACGCGCGGCCUGGGGAGGUAGGAGGCGGAGAGGCGGCGCGAGCGUACCCUUCUCCGGGCGCUCGGCGACGUGCGGCUGUAGCUGUGCUGGUUCUGGACGCCGCAGCCGGGGCCCUACCGGAAGCGGGCGCGGUAAGAGGGCGCCGACGUCGGGGGUCCGUGGCGGCCCCAGCCCGAGCAUGGCACGCGGCAGCCGCCGUGCCGGUAGGCCCUCACCCGGGCGCCCCUCGUGGACAUGCUCGUCUACCACGCCGCGCGCGCGCGGCGCUGGCUCACGCCGCUCUAGCUCCGGCACAACACCAUGGUCCCCCUCUCGCUACGUCUCAGGCUACGGCUUUGCCGCCGCAUGGUCCCCUUGCACCUCUCCGACUAUCGUUUAUAGUCCCGUCUAGAACCCUACGGCGUAGAUGGUAAGUAAGUCCAACGAGAGCGUAGACCCUUAUUUUCCUUGUAACUUUUUCACUCCCUCCGAGUCGAAUCGUAAUUGAACGACUUACAACAUUGACACCUACGUUAACCAGACGGGAACUUGCUUCUAUUAGACGUAGAAUGGUGACUUCGUGUUCAUUUCGAACCUCUUUCAGAACGUGUUUGGAUGUAGUCAUUGAAAAAUGUUCGUUGGACGAUCCUCUGGGCGUUUACAGUACUAUCCCGACAGGGUAGAAGUAAGGUGCCGUGUAUACAAACUGUCAUGGGAACGUUCUGACAGUACUGUUGGAAAAUAUAAACCUUCCGUAACAUUGUAAACGUGUAGGUGUCAUGUUUCGCUUAUUUUUAGUAAUUACUUUUCCUACGUAAAAUAUAAAAGUUAAUGUAGCUGUGCUGUUGGAACACACGCGCGUUUUGUUGUAGU